AUUGAACGCUGGCGGUAUGCUUAAGACAUGCAAGUCGAACGGUAACAGGUUAAGCUGACGAGUGGCGGACGAGUGAGUAACGCGUGGGAAUCUACCUUGUAGUGGGGGAUAAGCCAGGGAAACUUGGACUAAUACCGCAUACGCCCUAAGGGGGAAAGGCGCAAGUCGCUAUAAGAUGAGCCCGCGUCUGAUUAGGUAGUUGGUGGGGUAAAGGCCUACCAAGCCGACGAUCAGUAGCUGGUCUGAGAGGAUGAUCAGCCACGUCGGGACUGAGACACGGCCCGGACUCCUACGGGAGGCAGCAGUCGGGAAUAUUGGACAAUGGGGGAAACCCUGAUCCAGCAAUACCGCGUGAGUGAAGAAGGCCCUCGGGUUGUAAAGCUCUUUUGUCCGGAAAGAAAAGCAAUCGGUUAAUACCCGGUUGUCCUGACGGUACCGGAAGAAUAAGCACCGGCUAACUUCGUG
rnacentral:rRNA from 1 species